AUGAACGCUAGCUACAGGCUUAACACAUGCAAGUCGAGGGGCAGCAUGGUCUUAGCUUGCUAAGGCCGAUGGCGACCGGCGCACGGGUGAGUAACACGUAUCCAACCUGCCGUCUACUCUUGGACAGCCUUCUGAAAGGAAGAUUAAUACAAGAUGGCAUCAUGAGUCCGCAUGUUCACAUGAUUAAAGGUAUUCCGGUAGACGAUGGGGAUGCGUUCCAUUAGAUAGUAGGCGGGGUAACGGCCCACCUAGUCUUCGAUGGAUAGGGGUUCUGAGAGGAAGGUCCCCCACAUUGGAACUGAGACACGGUCCAAACUCCUACGGGAGGCAGCAGUGAGGAAUAUUGGUCAAUGGGCGAGAGCCUGAACCAGCCAAGUAGCGUGAAGGAUGACUGCCCUAUGGGUUGUAAACUUCUUUUAUAAAGGAAUAAAGUCGGGUAUGGAUACCCGUUUGCAUGUACUUUAUGAAUAAGGAUCGGCUAACUCCGUGCCAGCAGCCGCGGUAAUACGGAGGAUCCGAGCGUUAUCCGGAUUUAUUGGGUUUAAAGGGAGCGUAGAUGGAUGUUUAAGUCAGUUGUGAAAGUUUGCGGCUCAACCGUAAAAUUGCAGUUGAUACUGGAUAUCUUGAGUGCAGUUGAGGCAGGCGGAAUUCGUGGUGUAGCGGUGAAAUGCUUAGAUAUCACGAAGAACUCCGAUUGCGAAGGCAGCCUGCUAAGCUGCAACUGACAUUGAGGCUCGAAAGUGUGGGUAUCAAACAGGAUUAGAUACCCUGGUAGUCCACACUGUAAACGAUGAAUACUCGCUGUUUGCGAUAUACAGCAAGCGGCCAAGCGAAAGCGUUAAGUAUUCCACCUGGGGAGUACGCCGGCAACGGUGAAACUCAAAGGAAUUGACGGGGGCCCGCACAAGCGGAGGAACAUGUGGUUUAAUUCGAUGAUACGCGAGGAACCUUACCCGGGCUUAAAUUGCAGAUGAAUUACGGUGAAAGCCGUAAGCCGCAAGGCAUCUGUGAAGGUGCUGCAUGGUUGUCGUCAGCUCGUGCCGUGAGGUGUCGGCUUAAGUGCCAUAACGAGCGCAACCCUUGUUGUCAGUUACUAACAGGUUCCGCUGAGGACUCUGACAAGACUGCCAUCGUAAGAUGUGAGGAAGGUGGGGAUGACGUCAAAUCAGCACGGCCCUUACGUCCGGGGCUACACACGUGUUACAAUGGGGGGUACAGAGGGCCGCUACCACGCGAGUGGAUGCCAAUCCCCAAAACCUCUCUCAGUUCGGACUGGAGUCUGCAACCCGACUCCACGAAGCUGGAUUCGCUAGUAAUCGCGCAUCAGCCACGGCGCGGUGAAUACGUUCCCGGGCCUUGUACACACCGCCCGUCAAGCCAUGGGAGCCGGGGGUACCUGAAGUGCGUAACCGCGAGGAGCGCCCUAGGGUAAAACUGGUGACUGGGGCU
rnacentral:rRNA from 1 species